AUGUAGAAAAAGGCGUUUCGAUGAGCCUGGAAUUCAUAACCCACAUACCCAAAUCUAUAUGUUGUUUAAAGAACGUAAAAGCUUCAACAUCAAAACUGAACGACAAGCUUUUCGUGAUCAUCAAGGUCAAAGGUUGUAAUUGUUGUUGGAUGAUGAAGAGUUGUUGCAAGGCGGUGUUUCUCUAUGAUGGAAAGUUCAAGUUUGUUGUCAAAAUUGAGGGGAUGAAACAAUGGUAGCGAUGGUACCGCAAUUGAGAGGCUUGAUGAAGGAGUGGAGAAGGUGAUGUGCAACCUAUGAACAAUAAGGAAGGUGAAGCUGUCUGGGGAAUGAAUGUAGAAGAAAACCGAGAAAUCCGGGGAACGAGUCUAGGAAAGGACAUUUUAAUGGAAGACCACAACUCUGCAUUGGAAAAAUUAUUUAUAAAAAGCGUUUUGUUGUAGGGUAAAAUUUUAAAAAUUAAAUCGAAUUUUUAUUGUAUUAUUUAUGGUAAUAAAAUUUAUCAAAUUUAGCA